UGGGGAAUAUUGCACAAUGGGCGAAAGCCUGAUGCAGCAACGCCGCGUGAGUGAUGAAGGUCUUCGGAUUGUAAAGCUCUGUCUUUUGGGACGAUAAUGACGGUACCAAAGGAGGAAGCCACGGCUAACUACGUGCCAGCAGCCGCGGUAAUACGUAGGUGGCGAGCGUUGUCCGGAUUUACUGGGCGUAAAGGGUGCGUAGGCGGAUGUUUAAGUGAGAUGUGAAAUACCCGGGCUUAACUUGGGUGCUGCAUUUCAAACUGGAUAUCUAGAGUGCAGGAGAGGAGAAUGGAAUUCCUAGUGUAGCGGUGAAAUGCGUAGAGAUUAGGAAGAACACCAGUGGCGAAGGCGAUUCUCUGGACUGUAACUGACGCUGAGGCACGAAAGCGUGGGUAGCAAACAGGAUUAGAUACCCUGGUAGUCCACGCCGUAAACGAUGAGUACUAGGUGUAGGAGGUAUCGACCCCUUCUGUGCCGCAGUAAACACAUUAAGUACUCCGCCUGGGAAGUACGAUCGCAAGAUUAAAGC
rnacentral:rRNA from 1 species